rnacentral:rRNA from 1 species
UACGAAGGGGGCUAGCGUUGCUCGGAAUCACUGGGCGUAAAGCGCACGUAGGCGGAUUGUUAAGUCAGGGGUGAAAUCCUGGAGCUCAACUCCAGAACUGCCUUUGAUACUGGCGAUCUCGAGUCCGGGAGAGGUGAGUGGAACUGCGAGUGUAGAGGUGAAAUUCGUAGAUAUUCGCAAGAACACCAGUGGCGAAGGCGGCUCCCUGGCCCGGUACUGACGCUGAGGCGCGAAAGCGUGGGGAGCAAACAGG